rnacentral:lncRNA from 1 species
GUAAUAAAGCACAAAUUUUAACUACAAUUAGGGCGUGUUUGGUUUGCUUCUUUUUCACCCUAGAAUCGGAAUUGGAAUGGGUAAAUCCGUUUGUGAGUGUUUGGUACGCGAGAGUCCCAUUCCGAUUCCGAUUCCCGAGUGGAAUGGGAAUCCCCCAAUCACCUCUUUUUUCAAUCCGGCCUAGGGGGCCGAAUUGAAAGUUGAAUUGGGACGGAAUGGAUAUUUAUUCGGAUUAAAUUUAUUUUUUUAAUUUUUUUAAUUAAAAUAUGAGUUAAAAUUUAAAAAUUAAAUAUAUAAUUUUAAAUUUUAAUUUAAACUUAAAUUAAAAAUUAAAAUUUAAUCAAGUAUUUCGAAUCUAACUUAUGGAUUUGAAUUUAAAUUAAUAUAUUAUAAAGAUAAUGUUAGUAUAUUAAUUUGAUUACGUAUGUUUUUUAUAUCUACCUGAACCAAACACCGACAAUGGGAAUGAUUUAUUACGAUUCCGAUUCAGAUGAUGAACCAAACAUGAGUCAUUCUGAUUCCUAUUCUAGCUUAUUUUGAUUCCGAUUCCAACUUCGAACCAAACACGCCUUUAAUCUAGGUAUUACAAAUACUGAUACGAAACACGAUACGACUCGAAUACCACGACUCAGUAGCUUCCAAAAUAGUAGGAUGUGGACACGGUAUAUAAUUUAUUUUUUUUUGAGAGACAGAUAGCAUGCUACUCGCUUCGUUUAUUUUUUUUAGAAACAAACUUAGCUGAAAAAAUGAAUCAACUAGGAUACAACACGGUAUAUAAAAUAUUAAUUUGGUUAAAAUAUAGUUAUAUUUCUCAUACGAAUUAAAGCUAAUAAAAUUUUAAUUAGUAGUUCAUAUACUUUAAGAAAAAAAAAUUCCUACCUACGUAACUUAUUUAUAUUAUCUAAAAAAAAUUUGUAUGCAUUCAACAAAUUAAAAACUAAAAUACUUAUCAUCUUAUAUUAUAUAAAUAUACAAAAGUAAAAUAAAAAUAUUUAUAUAUAUUUUUUCAAUUGUAUGCGCUGUCGAUCUAUAUUGAACGCGUAUCUAAAACCUACGUAACAUAAACACACGAGAUUUAUAGAAGCGCCCGUGAUACAUAGCUACAAACUCAUGCGCAUAC